rnacentral:lncRNA from 1 species
ACCAAUCUAAAGAAUAUUACCACUAGACCAUCCAAUAGUCAGUCAGUCAGUCAGUCAGUCAGUCAGUCAGUCAGUCAGUCAGUCAGUCAGUCAGUCAGUCAGUCAGUCAGUCAGUCAGUCAGUCAGUCAGUCAGUCAGUCAGUCAGUCAGUCAGUCAGUCAGUCAGUCAGUCAGUCAGUCAGUCAGUCAGUCAGUCAGUCAGUCAUCAGUCAGUCAGGUCAGUCAGUCAGUCAGGUCAGUCAGUCAGUCAGUCAGUCAGUCAGUCAGUCAUCAGUCAGUCAGUCAGUCAGGUCAGUCAGUCAGUCAGUCAGUCAGUCAGUCAGUCAGUCAGUCAGUCAGUCAGUCAGUCAGUCAGUCAGUCAGUCAGUCAGUCAGUCAGUCAGUCAGUCAGUCAGUCAGUCAGUCAGUCAGUCAGUCAGUCAGUCAGUCAGUCAGUCAGUCAGUCAGUCAGUCAGUCAGUCAGUCAGUCAGUCAGUCAGUCAGUCAGUCAGUCAGUCAGUCAGUCAGUCAGUCAGUCAGUCAGUCAGUCAGUCAGUCAGUCAGUCAGUCAGUCAGUCAGUCAGUCAGUCAGUCAGUCAGUCAGUCAGUCAGUCAGUCAGUCAGUCAGUCAGUCAGUCAGUCAGUCAGUCAGUCAGUCAGUCAGUCAGUCAGUCAGUCAGUCAGUCAGUCAGUCAGUCAGUCAGUCAGUCAGCAGUCAGUCAGUCAGUCAGUCAGUCAGUCAGUCAGUCAGUCAGUCAGUCAGUCAGUCAGUCAGUCACAGUCAGUCAGCUCAGGUCAGUCAGUCAGUCAGUCAGUCAGUCAGUCAGUCAGUCAGUCAGUCAGUCAGUCAGUCAGUCAGUCAGUCAGUCAGUCAGUCAGUCAGUCAGUCAGUCAGUCAGUCAGGUCAGUCAGUCAGAUCAGUCAGUCAGUCAGUCAGUCAGUCAGUCAGUCAGUCAGUCAGUCAGUCAGUCAGUCAGUCAGUCAGUCAGUCAGUCAGUCAGUCAGUCAGUCAGUCAGUCAGUCAGUCAGUCAGUCAGUCAGUCAGUCAGUCAGUCAGUCAGUCAGUCAGUCAGUCAGUCAGUCAGUCAGUCCGUCAGUCAGUCAGGUCAGUCAGUCAGUCAGUCAGUCAGUCAGUCAGUCAGUCAGUCAGUCAGUCAGUCAGUCAGUCAGUCAGUCAGUCAGUCAGUCAGUCAGUCAGUCAGUCAGUCAGUCAGUCAGUCAGUCAGUCAGUCAGUCAGUCAGUCAGUCAGUCAGUCAGUCAGUCAGUCAGUCAGUCAGUCAGUCAGUCAGUCAGUCAGUCAGUCAGUCAGUCAGUCAGUCAGUCAGUCAGUCAGUCAGUCAGUCAGUCAGUCAGUCAGUCAGUCAGUCAGUCAGUCAGUCAGUCAGUCAGUCAGUCAGUCAGUCAGUCAGUCAGUCAGUCAGUCAGUCAGUCAGUCAGUCAGUCAGUCAGUCAGUCAGUCAGUCAGUCAGUCAGUCAGUCAGUCAGUCAGUCAGUCAGUCAGUCAGUCAGUCAGUCUGUCUGUCUGUCUGUCUGUCUGUCUGUCUGUCUGUCUGUCUGUCUGUCUGUCUGUCUGUCUGUCUGUCUGUCUGUCUGUCUGUCUGUCUGUCUGUCUGUCUGUCUGUCUGUCUGUCUGUCUGUCUGUCUGUCUGUCUGUCUGUCUGUCUGUCUGUCUGUCUGUCUGUCUGUCUGUCUGUCUGUCUGUCUGUCUGUCUGUCUGUCUGUCUGUCUGUCUGUCUGUCUGUCUGUCUGUCUUGUCUGUCUGUCUGUCUGUCUGU